rnacentral:rRNA from 1 species
UACGGAGGGUGCGAACGUUAAUCGGAAUUACUGGGCGUAAAGCGCACGUAGGCGGUUCGUUAAGUGGGAUGUGAAAUCCCCGGGCUCAACCUGGGAACUGCAUUUCAGACUGGCGAACUCGAGUCUGGUAGAGGGGGGUGGAAUUUCCUGUGUAGCGGUGAAAUGCGUAGAUAUAGGAAGGAACAUCAGUGGCGAAGGCGGCCCCCUGGACUAAGACUGACGCUGAGGUGCGAAAGCGUGGGGAGCAAACAGG